rnacentral:rRNA from 1 species
GUGUCAGCCGCCGCGGUAAUACAGAGGGGGCAAGCGUUGUUCGGAAUUACUGGGCGUAAAGGGCGCGUAGGUGGCCUUCUAAGUUGAACGUGAAAUCCCUGGGCUCAACCCAGGAACUGCGUCCAAGACUGGGAGGCUUGAAUCCGGGAGAGGGAUGCGGAAUUCCAGGUGUAGCGGUGAAAUGCGUAGAGAUUUGGAGGAACACCAGUGGCGAAGGCGACUUUCUGGUCUGUAACUGACGCUGAGGCGCGAAAGCGUGGGGAGCAAACAGGAUUAGAUACCCUGGUAGUCCACGCCGUAAACGAUGAGUGCUAAGUGUCGGGGGUGACCAACCCUCGGUGCUGUCGUUAACACAAUAAGCACUCCGCCUGGGGAGUACGGCCGCAAGACUGAAACUCAAAGGAAUUGACGG